GCCUCGGCUGAGGAGGACCAACAGCAAAACCGUGGGUUCGCUCCAAUGUUAAGGCGCGAGGUGAGGAGACUCGGAAGGUACUGUGUGCUGACUGCCGCCUGGUGGCGCGGGACUGACUUUUGUGUCUUUUUGGGGGGGUUUUAGGUCACAAAAUUCCCUGCGCAACAUUUCAGGUCCAUCCUUGAUCUAGGGAUCACGGUCUCAUUUCAUUCAAAAUGCCAUGGAAAAAGGAAAGAUGAGCUUGGAUGCCGGAGGGCGAUGACGUCGCAUGCUUCUCUGAAUCGGCCGGGGGAGAUGGAAGGUUCAAGUUCCAUCGUAUUCCCCAAAGCGACGCCCGACGGCUGCAAGAGACGUCCAACGAUCCAAGCGGGGCGUGGCGGGUGUGCUGCGCUCACUUGAGGACGGGCUCGGGGGUGAGCAUGGUGCAGUCGAUCUCCAGGAUCUGCUCCUCCUGGAUGAAGUGCUGCCUCCACACCUGCAAGAUGUUGUUCUUCAGGGCGCAGCCCACCGGACCAAAGUCGUAC